AUAUAUGCCAUAACAUACCAGGGAUCUCUAUUGGUGUAGGUCUAACACAAAUUUAUGGAGAUUCCAAAGCAAUCACAUAUGGUUGAUGCAAAACAAAUUAUGAGAUACCUAAAGGGUACUUUAGAAGAAGCAACGUGAAGAUGAAUUAAAAGGGUUCUCAUACUCAAAUUGAUGCGGAGAUAUGGUAGAUAGGUGAAGCACAGUGAGGUAUGUA
rnacentral:lncRNA from 1 species